CACCUCUUCCCAUUCCGAACAGAGAAGUUAAACCUCACUACGCCGAUGAUACUGCGAAAGCGGGAAAGUAGGUAACCGCCCCCU
rnacentral:rRNA from 1 species